AGCGAACGCUGGCGGCAGGCCUAACACAUGCAAGUCGAACGAACUCUUCGGAGUUAGUGGCGGACGGGUGAGUAACACGUGGGAACGUGCCUUUAGGUUCGGAAUAAUUCAGGGAAACUUGUGCUAAUACCGAAUGUGCCCUUCGGGGGAAAGAUUUAUCGCCUUUAGAGCGGCCGGCGUCUGAUUAGUGAGUUGGUGAGGUAACGGCUCAACAAGGCGACGAUCAGUAGCUGGUCUGAGAGGAUGACCAGCCACACUGGGACUGAGACACGGCCCAGAAUCCUAGGGGAGGAAGCAGUGGGGAAUCUUGCGAAAUGGGCGAAAGCCUGACGCAGCCAUGCCGCGUGAAUGAUGAAGGUCUUAGGAUUGUAAAAUUCUUUCACCGGGGACGAUAAUGACGGUACCCGGAGAAGAAGCCCCGGCUAACUUCGUGCCAGCCGCCGCCGUAACAC
rnacentral:rRNA from 1 species